rnacentral:rRNA from 1 species
CCUACGGGAGGCAGCAGUAGGGAAUAUUGCUCAAUGGGCGAAACCCUGAACCAGCAACGCCGCGUGGAGGAUGAAGGCUUUCGGAUUGUAAACUUCUUUUGUUAGAGAAGAUACAGAUGGCAUCUCACGAAUAAUCACCGGCUAAUUCCGUGCCAGCAGCCGCGGUAAUACGGAGGGUGCAAGCGUUAUACGGAUUAACUGGGUGUAAAGAGCGCGUAGGCGGGAUAGCAAGUCAGAUGUGAAAUCCUAUGGCUUAACCAUAGAACUGCAUUUGAAACUGUUAUUCUUGAGUACGGGAGAGGUAGGCGGAAUUCUUGGUGUAGCGGUAAAAUGCGUAGAGAUCAAGAGGAAUACUCAUUGCGAAGGCGGCCUGCUAGAACAUAACUGACGCUGAUGCGCGAAAGCGUGGGGAGCAAACAGGAUUAGAUACCCUUGUAGUC